rnacentral:rRNA from 1 species
UAACUGCGCGUCAUAGUGUGAACUGCAGGACACAUUUGAACAUCGACAUUUCGAACGCACAUUGCGGUCCGUGGAGAAACAUCCAGGACCACUCCUGUCUGAGGGCCGGCUGUAUAAAAACAAAUACCACACUGUUCAUAAACACAACAUAUUAUGAUAUGAUGUUGUUGUUGAACACAUGACGGUUCCGCGCCUACUCUGAAAAGACGAAGCGUACGGUCCGUUCAAAAAUUUUCAUUCACUCACUAUGUACAAUAAGAUGUACACGAUCGAACGACGGUACGCGUCGUCCGAGCGCGCAAGAGCCUCCUCGCUCCUGCGACCCUUCGGUGUGCGUUCACCCGUGUGUUAUUAUAAUCACUAUAAUGAUUAUGGGCGUUUGCGCUAAGAGGGCGAGCUUAAUAACGGAGUCACGGUGUGUAUCUUGUGUGCGCUCGUGGACGCGUACGAAACUCGUCGUACGAUCUACUCAUUCUAAUUGUAUACGUGUGUGACAAAUAAUAUAACAAAUAAUAAGUAGGCGGACUCGACGUCCGAAGUGCGUUUCGACGCCGUCGUCGCACGUACCAAGUGCGAUCGUGCGGCGUCGUAUCGCUGACGGAUAUCGCGUCUGCCUCGAUUUUUUAUCGUUGGCCUCAGAUCAGGGAGGAUCACCCGCCGAAUUUAA